rnacentral:rRNA from 1 species
GAUGAACGCUGGCGGUAUGCUUAACACAUGCAAGUCGAACGGACCCUUCGGAGUUAGUGGCGGACGGGUGAGUAACGCGUGAGAAUCUGGCUUUGGGUUCGGGACACCCACUGGAAACGGUGGCUAAUACCGGAUGUGCCGAGAGGUAAAAGAGAAAUUGCCUGCAGAUGAGCUCGCGUCUGAUUAGCUAGUUGGUGAGGUAAAGGCUCACCAAGGCAGCGAUCAGUAGCUGGUCUGAGAGGAUGACCAGCCACACUGGGACUGAGACACGGCCCAGACUCCUACGGGAGGCAGCAGUGGGGAAUUUUCCGAAAUGGGCGAAAGCCUGACGGAGCAAUACCGCGUGAGGGAAGAAGGCUCUUGGGUUGUAAACCUCUUUUCUUAGGGAAGAACAAAAUGACGGUACCUAAGGAAUCAGCAUCGGCUAACUCCGUG